UACGAAGGGAGCUAGCGUUGUUCGGAAUCACUGGGCGUAAAGCGCACGUAGGCGGUUGUGUCAGUCAGGGGUGAAAUCCCGGAGCUCAACUUCGGAACUGCCUUUGAUACAGCACGUCUUGAGACCGAUAGAGGUGGGUGGAAUUCCUAGUGUAGAGGUGAAAUUCGUAGAUAUUAGGAAGAACACCGGUGGCGAAGGCGGCCCACUGGAUCGGUACUGACGCUGAGGUGCGAAAGCGUGGGGAGCAAACAGG
rnacentral:rRNA from 1 species